CUGUUCUGUUUUACCCCAGGACUGUUUAGUAUUUCCCCUGCCACCAUGCAAGUUUGAUGCCUCUUUUAAAAUCAGCUCUUCUGGUGGCACAUUUGCCUAGCCUUCAUAAGGCCCUGGGUUCAGUCUCAAGUACAACAGAGACUGUGCACACUGAGAAAUGAGUCAUGUGUUGUUUCUGUCUUUGAGUCUUUCCAAAGUGGAUGUGAACACCUUUACAAACUAUCCAAGUGCUAACAAUGGGGAAAAAUCUAACUUGGCCACCAUGGGUCCUCCUUCUGGGACCCAUGGCUGUGUUUGAGGAUGGUAGAGAAGGAGUACAGGAGACGAUCAAUUCAGUUCGGGACAGAUACCGAGCACCUAUGACCAGUGCAUGGAGUCAGGCAAAACCCAGGUUUUUCAUAUUGUUGGGUCUGGAGAUCUAAGGCAGAUGAGUGAGUAACCCAUCCCCUAUGGAGAGUACUGUGAUUCCUGCAUCCUGAGAAGGGGUUGUAAACCUGCAUUCUUGCAUCCUGAAGAGGAGAUACAGGGUCUGAUAGAUCUGCGGCAGGGCUAAUGAGCAAAAUGCUUUCAAGAUUGUUUCCCCUCCCCCAUAAGGGGCAAAAAAACCCAGUUCAUCGAAGAAAGUCCACGAAUCCACAACCAAUGAAAAGAGCCUACCUAGCCCUUACCCAAAUGUCCAUACAAGCCCCAGCCUUCACCUGAGCAGUGAGCCACCGGCUUCCAGGCUCCACUGCACUUCUCUAGCUGUAGCCUUUCCUUUCUCGCUAAUAAAUCCUACUUCAUAUACAGAUUUUGGAUCACAAGUCAAUAAACUGCCUCCUGAGCCAGUUCCCUGGCCUGUGAAGGCCAGGACCCUCGACACCUGCCUGCAACACUUCAGACCAGCACAUAACAGCAUGGAGGGUUUUAUUUUUGCCAAAACAGAAGUUCCUAGAACAUCCUUGGAAUAUGUUUAUUUUAGAGGAAAAAUUAAAAGAAAUUAUUUGGAGCAAAUUUAAUAUUUAUGAUAAAACAGUGCUUCAUUUCAUUGAUAGGUAUUUUGUUUGCUUUGAAGAAAGUACCACAAAGGAAGAGUUCCAGAGUUGGGAUGUAACUUCAUGUAUUUUAUCAGAUCAGUGUUUCCACACAUUUGAGAAUACUCUGUUCUUUAGGACAGAGAAUGUAAAUUGUGGGUAAUAAAAGCAGAUCUUAUUUGUAUGGUGACUUGUUUUGAAAUAGUAUAUGAGUCACACAUCAGCCAUAAAUCAAAGCGUAAGAUAAGAGUCCUCUGAAUUUAGGUUAAAAUACUAAACCACUGCAGCUGGCAUUUGCUGAGAACAUACUGUGCAGCAAAUGAAUGCUCAUUUCAGUGACAGAUCUGAGGUUUUAUGUCACCGUCAUAAUGUCAUUCUUAUGGUUGGUUUAUGAUUUAAAAAAAAACAACUGAGGCACCGUGAGGUUGUCAGUAGCACAGUGUUGCAUUGCCAGUUGAGAUGGAGCAAGGAUUUAAACUCAGAGCUGAGAAGCAUAGGUGGGGAGGUUAUGGCCUUGAGGCUCUGUGUGAAUCCUGCAGUCAGUCCUCUGAGUACAGUCUCAGUCCCUGACAGUGUCCUUGCUUCCUGCAUGCCUGUCACAAGCUUUGCUUUAGGUGUCCCCACCAAACAUGGACUGAGGAAUGGGAGUAUAGAUGUGGCACAGCUGUCCUUUCCCCAGUUUAGCAAUAAGAGCAGGAGGAGUUGCUUCUAACUAUAAAGUUAGUACUCCUGAUUAAGGAGAAGGGAUGGUGAUGAUUCUAAGGACUUGAGGCAUUUUUAUGUAAAGCAAGACAUUCCACGUUAUAAGCUUGGGAGCUGCUUUACUUCUAUAAUACUUUGUUGGCUGACUUUCAGCAGGUCGCAGCUUCUUAGACAAUCAGGUUUCUCUGUUGUAAAUUCAGAAAUUCAGCUUGGUGACUUUGAAGAUUUCUUACCUUCUAAGUUCUGCAUUCAGGGAAUGUCUUCCCCAGAAUCCAUCCCCCAAUCCAUAGGCAUCACUGUUUCUGACAUCUAUCACUAUAUAUAUAUAUAUAUAAAAACUCCCUCACAAUUGAGUGAAUUAAUGUGUGGCAUGAGUUUAGCAGAGGUAGGGUGAGAGCUCCACUGAGCAGCACUCACUCGCAGUCAUGGAGGUCAAGGGUGUGACCAAGUGCACUAUGUUCCCACACCUCUGUGCCCUGCAUCUGGAAUGGGAUGACUGAGUAGCCAGGGCUUGCUGGGCAUUCUGCCUUCCCUACAGCCUCUCUGGUGACUAGUUUGGGAUUCCUCACAGCCUGGCACACUCAGGCUAGCCAGAGUUUUUGUGUGGAAUCCACCUUCCCUCAGGUUUUACCUACAUUCUGUGAGAUCCAGGAA